rnacentral:rRNA from 1 species
UUUAUCUGUCAGUAGAACCACAAUCUGAACAAUUGCGCAGCAUGGUCUAAGAUUCAACCUAUUGCUGCCUUUUUUGGUAGUGGAGCUCAAGGCCUUGGUUUCUACCAUGUGGAUGUUCCCGUUGCUAAUGAGUCAAAAUGGUUAAACUUCCAGAAUUAUGCGGUGGUAAAUAUCUUAAAAGGAGAAGUUGAUUGUGCUAAACUGAUGGAACCACUGUCUGCUACUUUCUGUAAGACUAAACACUGGCCUUGGCAAAUCAGAGGGCUCUCCAGCAAGACCUUUUUGGUCAGAUUCCCCCCUUGGAAGAAAGUGGAAGACCUCAUUGAACUACCUAGAUUCUCCCUGCCACAUGAUGUGAAUGUAACAUUAACUGAAUGGAAGGGUGGAUGUGAACCUUUUGGAGAGUUGAUUGAAGCCUGGGUACUGAUUGAGGGGAUUCCCCCAAAGUGGUGUACUUGGAAAGUGUUUGCCCAAAUUGCUUCACUAUUUGGGGUGCUUAUAGAUGUGAAUUGGAAUGGAAUGUUCAGAACUUUCUUUGAGAAUGUCAGAAUCAAAAUAGCCUGCAGAGAUCCUACUAAGAUUCCUUUUGAGAGACUGAUUGAGAUGAAGAAAAAGUUGUUCCUGCUUGGUUUCACUGUUGAGGGCUUUGAACAAACAGGUGGUGUUGACUCUAUCAUUGAUGUAGAUGAGGAUGAAGAUGGUAAUGAGGAGGAUGAGAGACCUGAGGAAGAACAUGCUAAAAAAGAUAAUGGAACUCAGGGAGAACAUGCUUCUGAAGGGUCAGGUGAGGGUGAUUUAGCCAUUGAUGAAUUAGACAAAGCUAACUUCUCAACUAAACAUGGGUCCUCAAACAAGUAUGGUGUUCAAAGGUUGGUGGUUACACCUAUGGAACAUGAACAUGAUGCUGAUCAGGAGGAUUUCAUUAUGAAAUAUGCUUUGGCUGCUGUUGACCUUGAUGGUGCAUCUUUUGAUGGACAUGAACCUAAGUCUGGCUAUGUUGGUAACCUUCUAGAACAGAACCAAAAUACUGAUGGGGAGGAAAGGGAGGAUCAAGGAGUGGUGACCCAAAAAAAACCCUCCAUCUGGGAAGAAUGA